UACGUAGGGGGCGAGCGUUGUCCGGAUUUAUUGGGCGUAAAGAGCUCGUAGGCGGUUUGGCAAGUCGGGUGUGAAAACUCCGGGCUCAACUCGGAGACGCCACUCGAUACUGCCAUGACUCGAGUCCGGUAGGGGAGUGCGGAAUUCCUGGUGUAGCGGUGAAAUGCGUAGAUAUCGAGAGGAACACCUGCGGCGAAGGCGGCUCACUGGACCGGUAUUGACGCUGAGGUGCGAAAGCGUGGGGAGCAAACAGG
rnacentral:rRNA from 1 species